rnacentral:rRNA from 1 species
GACGAACGCUGGCGGCGUGCUUAACACAUGCAAGUCGAACGGAAAGGCCCUGCCUUUGUGGGGUGCUCGAGUGGCGAACGGGGGAGUAACACGUGAGUAACCUGCCCUUGACUUUGGGGUAACUUCAGGAAACUGGGGCUAAUACCGGAUAGGAGCUCCUGCUGCAUGGGGGGGGUUGGAAAGUUUCGGCGGUUGGGGAUGGACUCGCGGCUUAUCAGCUUGUUGGUGGGGUAGUGGCUUACCAAGGCUUUGACGGGUAGCCGGCCUGAGAGGGUGACCGGCCACAUUGGGACUGAGAUACGGCCCAGACUCCUACGGGAGGCAGCAGUGGGGAAUAUUGCACAAUGGGCGGAAGCCUGAUGCAGCAACGCCGCGUGCGGGAUGACGGCCUUCGGGUUGUAAACCGCUUUCGCCUGUGACGAAGCGUGAGUGACGGUAAUGGGUAAAGAAGCACCGGCUAACUACGUG